CCUACAGCACCAGCCCAGGAAGCCAACGAA
rnacentral:piRNA from 1 species